UUGUAGUUGUGAUUAUUUUUGAGAAUUUCAGUUUCGCCCUAUUCACCCCCCCUCUAGGCGACUUUCAGUAUGGUCGAGAGAAAACAAGCAACCAAUCACGCUCUAUCUGCACAGGUCUAGCAUGGCUACCAGAAGCCUCGUUGGGUGGAGUCAUGCGGGCUUGGUUGGGAAGACAACCAAUCACGCCCUAUGUCUGAGUCAUUAUAGCGCGUCCCAUGUUUUAGUAUGAACAUUCAAAUGAGUUUGCUAUAUAGGAGAACUGACGUUCAAAACACCAUACGGCCAACAUUUAGAAUACACACACAGGCAUAUUUGUUGCGAUUAUAGGUGUACAUUUGGGCUGUGCCUAACAGGCUGGCCCAAAGCACACAAUUUUAGGCACGACCCAGGCCCGGCACGGCCCAACCUAUUUGCGGGCCCGGACCAGCCUGGCACAAUGCAUGGGCCGUGUCUGGGCCUCAACUCAAGCACACGGGCCGGCCUGACACGACCCAUUUAACUAAGGUAGUGUUUGGUUGAAGAGCCAAGUAGAACGGAGCCGUUCUGUCCCAGUUUUGUUGUUGUUUGGUUACAAAGUAACUAGAACGGAAUGGCUUCAAUUAGGGAAUAUUCUCAUCAGAUCCGGAACCAUUCCGCUCCAAAAAAUCAACCGAACGGAGCCACUCCGUUCCCAUCCCGCUCGCACAGUCACGCUCCGUUCCGUUCACUCUACAACCAAACAAAAAACAGAGCCGCUCUGUUCCAGAUUACCAAACACAGAACAGAGCGGCUCCGUUCCUAGAAUCAGGGAUGGAACGACUCCGUUCUACUUGGCUCCUCAACCAAACACUACCUAAGACACACUAAAGCUCACUAAACAUAAAAACCCUAGCGAUCCUAUCCGUCCACCGUCCGAUCAGGCACCGCACCGCGCUGCCGCCAUCCAACGGCCACUUCCCACCCACACGGCCACACCUAUUCCAUUUGGCGCGGUUUGGCACAGGCACAGCAAACCCUAAAUCCUAAACGGCUGAACGGCGACCGCGGCUCUGCCUCUGCUCUACCUGCAUGGGCGCGCCGCGCGUGGCUCCCUUCUCCCUCGUCUUCGCGGCGGCGCUCGCCGCACCGCCUUCGACGUCCCUCGACUUCGCGCGGUUUCAACAGUGCACUUCAGUUUCUUUCUAUAUUCAUUUGCUUUUGUCUUAGAUCCUAGAGCUAAACUCAAGGGUUUCAACAGUGCACUUCAGUUUCUUUCUAAUGUGACUUUUACUGAUUACUCUGAUUAUUACAAUAACGUGCGUACUGAUUUAUCUAAUGUUUUUGCCAAGUAUGAUAGCAAAUUUGGUGGCACCAGGUUGCAAAGGGCAACUCAAUCCGUAAGUACUAGCAAAGUGAAAUCUGCUUGGGUCUUACUGGCAGGGUGCUUGAGGAGAGGAGACGUUGUCUAACUAGUGAGAUGGUGGAGAUUUUGACAUGUUUGAAGGAUUGGCAGAUGGGCGACGAUCGAGAACAACACAACUUGGAGAAUCCAGAGCUUCAACAAGUUUUCGAGAAUCAGUAUCUAGAUGGUGAUGGUGAUGAUAAUCAAGAUGCUCAACCUGUUGCUGUUGCCUAGUGUGCAUGUGGUCGUGUAGGAUUUUAUCAUUGUAUCUGUAUUUCGUAUGUAUGGCUGUAUUACUCAACUAAACUCUCGAAACAUUGAACUGAUUACUAUUUU